rnacentral:piRNA from 1 species
UGAUCACGUUUCCCCAUUUCUUGGGACU